UCCCAAUGGCUCAGAUGGUAAAGAAUCUGCUUUCAAUGCAGAAGAUCCAGGUUCAAUACCUGGGCUGGGAA
rnacentral:tRNA from 1 species